UACGGGGGGAGCAAGCGUUGUUCGGAUUCAUUGGGCGUAAAGGGUGCGUAGGUGGCAUGGUAAGUCGGAUGUGAAAUCCCGGGGCUCAACCCCGGAACUGCAUUCGAUACUGCUGCGCUAGAGUACUGGAGAGGAGAUUGGAAUUUACGGUGUAGCAGUGAAAUGCGUAGAUAUCGUAAGGAAGACCAGUGGCGAAGGCGGAUCUCUGGACAGUUACUGACACUGAGGCACGAAAGCCAGGGGAGCAAACGGG
rnacentral:rRNA from 1 species